rnacentral:rRNA from 1 species
AGUGAACGCUGGCGGCAUGCCUAACACAUGCGAGUCGAACGGUAACAGGCCCGCAAGGGUGCUGACGAGUGGCGGACGGGUGAGGAAUACAUCGGAAUUUGCCCAGUCGUGGGGGAUAACGUAGGGAAACUUACGCUAAUACCGCAUACGACCUAACGGUGAAAGCGGGGGACCUGCAAGGGCCUCGCGCGGAUGGAUAAGCCGAUGUCGGAUUAGCUAGUUGGCGGGGUAAGAGCCCACCAAGGCGACGAUCCGUAGCUGGUCUGAGAGGAUGAUCAGCCACACUGGGACUGAGACACGGCCCAGACUCCUACGGGAGGCAGCAGUCGGGAAUUUUGGGCAAUGGGCGAAAGCCUGACCCAGCAACGCCGCGUGAAGGAUGAAGUUUUUCGGAAUGUAAACUUCGUAAAAAUAGGAAGAAUAAAUGACGGUACUAUUUGUAAGUCCGGCUAACUACGUGCCAGCAGCCGCCGCGGUAA